rnacentral:rRNA from 1 species
GUGUCAGCCGCCGCGGUAAUACAGAGGGUGCGAGCGUUAAUCGGAAUUACUGGGCGUAAAGCGUGCGUAGGCGGCUUUUUAAGUCGGAUGUGAAAUCCCUGAGCUUAACUUGGGAAUUGCAUUCGAUACUGGGAAGCUAGAGUAUGGGAGAGGAUGGUAGAAUUCCAGGUGUAGCGGUGAAAUGCGUAGAGAUCUGGAGGAAUACCGAUGGCGAAGGCAGCCAUCUGGCCUAAUACUGACGCUGAGGUACGAAAGCAUGGGGAGCAAACAGGAUUAGAAACCCCAGUAGUCC